UUCAGGACCGUCGCCCAUUUCGAAUCGAAAUGUUUCAAAAGUUGCACAACGAAAGACGGUAUAUUCACCCCGUGUAACCAGAAAAACACGGACAGGACACACCGUUUCUACCUACCAAUGGAACUUGCUGUGUGAGAUAUGUCGGGAGCGCACGGCAGAUGCUACAUUUGUACCCUGUGGACAUACAAUCACUUGCAGGCGUUGCUGCAGACAUGAACAAGUUUGUAGUGUGUGUCACUGUACCAUCGAAGGAACUAAGCAAGUUUAGCCUAUGUUAACUGCCAUAAACGGUAAAAAACACGUCUAGAACUUAAGUAUAGUUGCUUUGUCAGAGGUAUCAUUGACAGUACUUUUCAUUAUAUAGUAACGUUGUCUGGAAUGCUGUUGACAGUUUUCAACAAGUUUACAUUUAAUAUAUAUAUUAGCGUAUAAUAGAAAUCCUAGCUUUGUCAGAGAUGCUAUUCAGUACUCAGCAAGUUUACAAUUUAUUACAUAUUAGCGUUGUUAGGGGUGUUAUUGAUAAUAUUAACCAAGUUUACAUUUUGUUAUAUGAUAUCUUCAUCUGAUGGACCAUCAACACGACUGAAUAUAUCAAGACUAUAUAACACCUGGGAAGUUAUCAACAGAAACAAUAUAUUUACACGCAGGAUCCUGAUAAACAAGGAUAAUAAGACCGGGUGUUCCGUAAAACUAAGCGUCUUCUUAUUUACUGACGAUACUCCCCAUAUGAAUAAUGGCCAAUCCAAGUAAGUUAUGUCACAAUUCCAAAUUAGAGCACGGUAACCAACAACGAAAUCAACAGCAAUAAUAUCGAGCAUCAAAUACAUACGUCCGGUUUUGUGUAGCCUGCAGAGCUGGCGGACACUUGGGGAUCACUUUGUCCGUCGUCACGCGUCGUCGUCGUCGUCCGUACGAAAGUUUUCCGGACUUUUUUCGGUAAUGCUUUGAGUUAUCAAAAUGAAAUUUGGCAUAUGGCUUUUUGUUGCAAGGGUACAGAUUAAGCACGAUUUCCGGCUGUCUGUAACCCUUUUUGGCAGAGUUAUGCCCUUUUCAACUUAGAAAAUUUCCUGGGAAUAUUGUUUUCCGGACUUUUUUGGCUUAUGCUUUGAGUUAGCGAAAUGAAAUUUUGUAUAUGGCUUUUUUGUUGCAAGGGUACAGAUUUAAGUUUGAUUUCUGGCUGUUUGUGGCCCUUCUUGGCUGAGUUAUGUCCCCUGGAACUUGGAAAAUUUCUCAUGAAUAUUGCUUUGCGCAGUUUUCCCAUUAUGCUUCAAGUUAUAGAAAUGAAAUUUGGUAUUACAACUUUAUGGUUGGUCGUUGCACAUCCAGUUCAAUUUCUGGUUUACCGUGACAAUGUAUUCAGACGACACACACAGUUCCGAGGAACUCAUAUCAUAUAACCAUACAGCAUGGUCAGAAGCUACUCGUUGUUGGAAAGAAAUCGAGAUAAGUGGCUGAUGUUAGAGUCUGUCAUGUUCUUUUUCAAUUCUGGUGAGUACAUGUAUAACGUUGAACAUAGUCAAUAACUUUCAUGUCAUUUAAAGAUAAGACAACAUCAUUACAUCUGAAAGUCACCAGAAUUUUGAUCAGUUGAACAUUUUUUUCUUUCAUAUUUCUUAUUUAAUUUGGAUAUAUUUCGCACAAAAUAAACAUUUGUGUAGUUCUUAGCCAUACAUUUGUAGUGUCAGUGUAUCCUUUGUUUGAAAAGGGAGCUAUCAUAAUUGAGUAGGUCUAGACUAUUGCUUAAUAGGUGCAUCUAAAGCGUUGGCUAAAUCGUACGUAGCUUUUUGGUAUUUGGCAGUGACGUCCUGUGUAUUAAAUAUUUAUAUAUUUAUUAAAUAAAGUGAAUACAGUAGUGUUAUUGGGAUAUGAUUUAGUCAUUGUUGAAAGAGGUUAAUGAUACAUAAUAAUUCAAUUGUAGUACUUCACUGUUGGUGGUGAAUUGUAGUUAUCCCAUUAAGAGAAUCUAGGUCCUAAAUUUUGAUUUAAUAGAUAUGAUUUGUUGUCUGAUAAUUGGGAUAUUAAGUUAAACCAUAAUAAAAUAAUAUAUAUUCUUUACUCUGAAUUAAACACAUAAUGUUACUCGAUUGUAUUUCUUGAAUACGCCUAUAAUUUUACAAAAUCCGAACAACUAGGCUUAAUGCUGAUGGUUUAUGUUCUGAGCAUAUACAAAAUAUUUUUCGAGAAAUCCAGUAAAUGAGUGAUUAAAAUGAAUAUUAAUCUUGUUUCAGCUGUGUAUAUUUUUGUUUCAUAUUUCCAUAAUAUCAUCAACCCAAUCCUCUGAUCAAAAAUGUUAUGAGUGGCUUAUUUUGCUCUUCAUCCCAGCCUUUGUUGAUUAUAUUAACAGCAUUCAACAAUAGUGAUAUGAAGCGUCAUCUCCGGCUACAUCUGUCAAAUGAUGAAUCAAUAAGGUGAUCAUUAUAUCAGUCAAAGUUAAAAUUACAUGCAUUUUUCUACGUUUACAUAUUAUGAUAUAUUUUGAGUCUCGAAUAAAUAACCAUAAAACUAACUUUGGGAUACACUGAAAAUUUGAUGAAAGUUAUUUCUCCCUUUUAACUAAUAAUUAAUCAAUUCUAUAUGUUACAUCCCAUAAUAUUGAUCAAUCUGCUGUACAUAUUUUGUAUGCUUCUACAUAUUUGCUUCAACAAACUUUACUCAUUUAUUUGUAACUGGAUUUAUAUAGGCUUAGGCCGAUUUCUGAUCAAUUAUGUAUUUUUGAACAAUAAAAUUUUGUUGAAAUAAAA